rnacentral:lncRNA from 1 species
UUGAAAGAAUAAUGAAUUGUAACACAAGAAUCAUUAACAGAGAGGUUCUGAUUGUUCACGUAUUUGUGUUUACCUGAAGAGCUGUAUCCUUUUCAGUGCACAAGGAUUUAAGUCUAUCGCGAUCACCUGUAACAACUGCUAGGUUUUGCUGCUCGGACCUGAAUGAAUCUCUCAAAGCUUCCAGUUCAUCUUGCAGCCUUAGCUCUUGUUCCUGCCUCGCGUGCAAUUCUUGAACUAACUGUGAUAAUCAUAAUAUAAUCAGUCAAGAUAUGAUAAAAGUUGCUAAGAGUAUCAAGGUAUAAUAUUAUCUUAGUACAUAUCUUAAUCAUAAUAUAAAGCAAUUUACCUGAUCAGUA